UACAGAGGGUGCUAGCGUUCUUCGGAAUCACUGGGCGUAAAGGGAGCGUAGGCGGGUUCUUAAGUAAGGUGUUUAAUCCCGGGGCCCAACCCCGGACCGGCACUUUAAACUGGGAAUCUUGAAUAGUGGAGAGGUCGGUGGAAUUGGGGGUGUAGCGGUGGAAUGCGUAGAGAUCCCCAAGAACACCAGUUGCGAAGGCGGCCGACUGGACACAUAUUGACGCUGAGGCUCGAAAGCAUGGGGAGCAAACAGG
rnacentral:rRNA from 1 species